rnacentral:rRNA from 1 species
AUUGAACGCUGGCGGCAUGCUUUACACAUGCAAGUCGAACGGCGGCACGAAAGAGCUUGCUCUUUUGGUGGCGAGUGGCGAACGGGUGAGUAAUGCAUCGGAACGUACCGAGUAAUGGGGGAUAACUGUCCGAAAGGAUAGCUAAUACCGCAUACGCUUUGAGAAGGAAAGUGGGGGCUCUUCGGACCUCACGUUAUUCGAGCGGCCGAUGUCUGAUUAGCUAGUUGGUGGGGUAAAGGCCUACCAAGGCGACGAUCAGUAGCGGGUCUGAGAGGAUGAUCCGCCACACUGGGACUGAGACACGGCCCAGACUCCUACGGGAGGCAGCAGUGGGGAAUUUUGGACAAUGGGCGCAAGCCUGAUCCAGCCAUGCCGCGUGUCUGAAGAAGGCCUUCGGGUUGUAAAGGACUUUUGUUAGGGAAGAAAAGGAUAGUGUUAAUACCAUUAUCUGCUGACGGUACCUAAAGAAUAAGCACCGGCUAACUACGUG